UGCGUACCUUUUGUAUAAUGGGUCAGCGACUUAUAUUCUGUAGCAAGGUUAACCGAAUAGGGGAGCCGAAGGGAAACCGAGUCUUAACUGGGCGUUAAGUUGCAGGGUAUAGACCCGAAACCCGGUGAUCUAGCCAUGGGCAGGUUGAAGGUUGGGUAACACUAACUGGAGGACCGAACCGACUAAUGUUGAAAAAUUAGCGGAUGACUUGUGGCUGGGGGUGAAAGGCCAAUCAAACCGGGAGAUAGCUGGUUCUCCCCGAAAGCUAUUUAGGUAGCGCCUCGUGAAUUCAUCUCCGGGGGUAGAGCACUGUUUCGGCAAGGGGGUCAUCCCGACUUACCAACCCGAUGCAAACUGCGAAUACCGGAGAAUGUUAUCACGGGAGACACACGGCGGGUGCUAACGUCCGUCGUGAAGAGGGAAACAACCCAGACCGCCAGCUAAGGUCCCAAAGUCAUGGUUAAGUGGGAAACGAUGUGGGAAGGCCCAGACAGCCAGGAUGUUGGCUUAGAAGCAGCCAUCAUUUAAAGAAAGCGUAAUAGCUCACUGGUCGAGUCGGCCUGCGCGGAAGAUGUAACGGGGCUAAACCAUGCACCGAAGCUGCGGCAGCGACGCUUAUGCGUUGUUGGGUAGGGGAGCGUUCUGUAAGCCUGUGAAGGUGUACUGUGAGGUAUGCUGGAGGUAUCAGAAGUGCGAA
rnacentral:rRNA from 1 species